GCUCAGUUGGUUAAGCCUAUGACUCUUGAUCUUGGCCCAGGUUGUGAUCUCAGGGUUGUGAGUUCAACCCUCACACUGAGCU
rnacentral:tRNA from 1 species